AUGGUCAACUCCUGACCCUAGGUCACUGCUGGAUCAGCCAGGGGCACUGGCAGAGAGAGCGAGCACAAUGAUCAGCUGUGCUGGUGAAUUCUCCCAUAGGCAAAUGGCCCGGGGUUUAUCUAACACUAAUAUAAAGUGGUACAGAUCACUUCAUCUGCUCCUUUGCUAAAGUGGAGCCAAAUGUUCAAGUGUGACUGACUCAAAAAAGUGAAAUAAGAGACCUGAUUUUCAGCACUGGUGAGGCCCAGUUGAGUAAAAAUAGGAGCUGCAGAUGCUCAGUUCUGUAGCUGGAUCAAUGUGUGCCAACUCCUGAAAUCCUACCCAGCCUGCUGUGGUUCGGGCUAGAGCUAGGAUAAAGUAUGGUGCUGCUGUAAAAGGUAAUAAUUGGCGCACAGUCUUCAGGAAAUAGAGCUGUUGUUUAGACAUUGCAAUUUUAAAGAAAGCUUAUGUGAAAGGAGGAUGCAGUAGUCACAACCACAGAUAACCUCAAGUAUAAAAGGUAAUUUCUCAUAGUGUGUCUGGGCAGAGCUUCAGAAAACAAAGCUGCUGUCUCAUCCAGAUGUCUGAUAGCUUUAGGUGUGUAUAGAGUUGCCAUAAUAUAUGGGUCUAUCAGAUAAAAUAAUAGCUACUAGCUGCAGAUUUUUUUUUGAACAUCCCUAUGGACUUGCCUUCUUAAGUGUUUUUGGUGAGCAAGUCGUUGCAUUCUUUAUUUUCAUAUUGUAUUUUGCCAUCAUAUUUUGCAACAGAAUUUUGCAUCAUAUUUUUGUAGCAGAAUUUGUUCAGUGUUUUGAGUGCUGGCCUUGGCAUUAUAGCAGUUGCCAUCUGAGCCCAGAAAAGAAAUAUAGCAUGUAUCCAAUCUGCCCGUAACAGGAUCAGUACUGAUUCAAUAUGAUUUCAUUAAUUUCUGUAUUUGUAAAACAAAACUUUUUUCUGAAGUACAGUUUUAAAGCAUGGUGAAAGCACUAGGAUGCAGUCUAGCCUAGUUGUAUGCUAUCAAGUAUUUAGAUUACUUAGUUAACAGGUCUGGUUUCAGCAGUCCAUUAGGAAGGAAACAGAUAUAGGGCAUUUGAUUGUUCUGUGUAGUUCAUGCUUCAAGCUUGCAUUCUGUUUUAAACCAUACAAGUAAAGAGUUUCAUCUGCUGACAGUGAAUUAACUGGCUAAUGGGCAGCCCUAGUUUUUUCACAUACUUUGAAGUAUAGAAACUCCUGAUAACAGUAUUUAGAACACCCAGAAAGCUUCCAUCCACAUGGUUUUCUUGGUGGUUACAAAAUAGUAGUUGCACAAAACAUUACAGAUGAAAGAUGCAAUGUGUGUGUAAACGAGAAAAGCUGGAAAUAUCAGUUUAAAUAUCAGUUACAGUUCAGAUAUUAAGCUUCAGUGUUUAUUUCUGCUUUUACAUACUUAUUCUCCCAUUUUAACAAUAUUUCCUAACAAGUCUUGAAAGCUGUGCUUGCUGUGACAUUUAAUGUAAAAGUGCAGUUUUGUAACUAGUCACCAGUCUAGCAGGCAGAAAAUCAACCUUGUUAUAUCUAUAUGUCAGUAGUGAAGGAUAUAGGUAAUUGCUUCUCUCUUCCCACCCUGGCAUCUGUUGUCAAAGGCACAUCCUUUCACAUGUCAAAAAUUUAACUGAAGAAAAACCACAGAUGAGAGUUUAUAAUACAGUUUGAGAGUGCUUAGCAGUAUGCAAAUCGCUUAUCAGAGUUGAAUAUAGUCUGUAUCAAGUGCAGAUAUAUAAAGACCAUGUGUAGCUUCCUUUCCUUUCAUAGUAAAGUCUCUUUUUUGAGUGGUAACAGUGCUCAACCUACAUCAUUUCAAUGUGACAGGGCUUCUGGGCAGCUGUUUGAUUGGUGUCUUAUUAUCCAUUGGUGUGCCUGACUUUCAUGUAUUUCAGCAGUUGCAGUAAGCCAUGAAUCUGUAUUAUCACAAUAGAGUAACUUUGUUGUGUCUACAAUUACCCUUGGCAGAAUUAAUUUCCUUGGGUCUAAUCUAAGUUUGCUGAAGUCAAAAGCAGUCUUUCCACUAAAUUCAGUGGGCUUUCAAAUCAAAAACCUAAAACAAAAUAAAAAUGCCCAGCCAGUGCGCAUCUUUCUAUUGCUCAUAUCUUCCCACACAUUCAAAAUAUAGGUUUCUUGCCAAAUGCUGAAUGCCUAUCUACAUUUAAACAGCAUUCUCAAGUCACCAAAAUAUUCCAUUUAAGUGCAUAGCCUUAGGACUGAAGAAUGUUUAUGCAUUUAUCUGGAGUAUGCAUUCUUCCAAACAAUGUACACAGUGUUCAUCAAGUACACAGCAUCCAGUACCAUGGUAUUAGUAAUUUGGAAACUACUUACCUACCCUCAUUCUUGAGGUUCUCCUAGUGAAUUUUGAAGGCUGUUAGAAGUCUUGAAAAUAAAAGGAGAUAACAGCUAUGAAACUUGUCUAAAGUCCGCUGUUUUCAGUGCUUCUAAGGCUAAAAGGUAGUUUGUUCAUUAAACCAAUAUUCAAAUACUUGUGUCAUAAGUAAGCGAUAGGUAAAAUAUUUGGUCUGGCCUUGUAUUAUGUAGUUAAGCAAAUUAUGCAUUUGUAUGGAUGAGUAGAGCACAUUGUACUCUUGUGGCAUUUCCCAAACAUUACAGAAUUCCCUAAUAGUCAGAUUUCUUGAUAUGUCUCCGUGAAAGUAUCAGCCUAAGGAUCACAUGAUUAUUUGUUUUGUUGUUUAUUCUUUCCCAAAUAGUUGAAAGAUGUUAUCCUUUGUGCCAAAUACAAAUAGAACAUUACUCACAUCCCUGCCAGCAAUUGCCUGGCUCUGGCCAGCCUGCAGUCCAAAAGGCUAUUUCUGUGGCUUGCUACUGUUUGGCACCUUCCAUCCCUUGAUUUCUUCUCUCUCUGUGUGGUUGGUUCCAUGGCCCAGUAUCUUCAGAGAACCCUGGAAUAUAUAAAGGAUAUGGGGUCCAUGACUAAAACUGCUUCCUACUUGUGUAGGAAUCUCCUUGUAUGUAGUUUCCAUUUAUUGGUAAGUGGUGCACAUUUGCAGGUUUGUUACUUGUUCAUCUGGAGCUUCAUUUCCUCAGGUGCUCAUCAUCAGUAUUACACUAUGGACACUUUCCCACUGAUAGAUCCUACCUGCAGCUCUGGGACCUACUUUUCUGAUUCCUUCCUAUCUAGGAAGCAGCACCUUGCUGCCCCAUGAAUUUGUUCAUAUCAGAAUUCUAUUAGUAUAUGUACUAAAUAGAGCUUUAGUGCAGAAGGUUAAAAAAGAGCCUAAGUAUCAACUAUGGUGAUAAUACUUGCCACUGAGGAAGGAAGGGAGGAGAGAUUGAAAGGUAGUUGAAUGGUAACAGUUCGAGGCAAAUUUAUUUCUCCCAGAUUUUGUUUUGCUGCUUUUACUUUUUUAUGGAGCUUUUCAGGUCCAAUGCAAGUUUUUUGGACAUUGUCCUUUUGAAAGGCGAGAUGAAAAGUGAGCAUCAGUGGGUUCAUUAGGAACUGGAAAGAAAAAAAUUAAGCAUAGUGACAGGAGGAGAAGCAAUCAAAAAGUAAACAUAUAAGAAAGCACUACCUUGCCCCAUAGAAGUCCAGACAGUAAAACUACCCCAUAUCAGUGAUGGGGAACCUCAUCAAUGUUCCAGCUCAUUCUGUUUCACUGGAAACCAAGUGGAAGUGACAAGGAGGGACAUGUCCAUGUUUGUUAGUGUUUUUGAAAUAGUAAUAACUGGAAGCCAUUACAGGUUUCCAAUCUGAAUCCUUUGAUUAAUAUAUCUUUCUGUGACAUUCCCUAACUUCAGAGCCUGUGUCAGAGAGGUCCAUCCAAAAUCCUUGUUUCUGUUUAAGAUUGUGUGCUGUUGCUGUGCAGUACUUGUAGGAUGUCCUCCAUUUGUGUGCAAGUCUCUCUGCAGUUUUCUUUUAAAUACAGAUUUGCAUUUCACAAACCUUAUGACAGAUAAAGGCUAACUUCCCUUUGCCAAUGCCAAACCUUUGAAUCACUACAGACAUACCUAUUUAACCUUUCUACCUCAUCAUGUUACUCAUAAUGAGAGCAUGUGUCUCCUUUAUUUCAUGCAGAGUCUGGAUCAUAGGAAUCUCCCAUGUAAACAUCAAUCUCAGAAUGAUAUCCUUAAACUGCAUUUGCUCAAGGCUCACUACAUCUGAGUACAAUGCAAGUCUCCAAGACUGAGGUUCAUUGACAGGAAUGGAUCUGAAGUUUGCAUGGUGCUAAUGUAAUAUACCUGCCUGUAGCUAGCCACCAUUUUCCUACUCCAAUCUGCUCUAAAAUAUACCCAUUUCCAAAAGACACUCUUACUAUAAACUUAAUUCCAAAGCUGUGGUGCUUUGAAAAGGUAUACUGGUGUGCUGUCAUAUAAUUGGGAGUCUUGGACUGUAUCCCACACAGGCCAGCUCUGAGAAGAGAAGCAAGAAUGUAGAAUAGAACAAUAAUUGAACAAAUCUUGCAAAGGGAGAUAUGGAUUGUGAUUUUGUGGCAGGACAGUAUGGGGUAUUACUAUGCUGAGUCACCCACCUCACUUUGCCCAACUAAAACCACGCUUUGGGUGUCUCCUCUGGGGUACGUAUGGCAGGCCGACCCUUCCUGGAGUACACCCACUAGCCUGGGAUAAUCACUGCCACCACCCGGGUUCUGGUCUCUGUUACGGCUCUGUGCAGCCCAGGGUACACAGACCCUGCAGACCCUGGGGGUGCUUAGCCUGCUGUGGUAUUUUGGGGUGCUUCUGAUAGCCUGAAGCAUUCAGAAGUAACCUCCCGUACUAGAGGAAAGUAAAAAAGCCAAGCCCACUUUAGCUAGCCGAGCAAAGGGAGCUAGAAGGCUGGUCCCUUCCGUCUUCCCUCAAGAAUCCACAGGUCGGCAUGCUGUAACAGAUAGCAUUUGUUGAAAUGAGAAAAAGAGACUGUAGAAGGGGUACAGGACAGAGGAAUGUUAAGAGAAACAAAACACCUUGAGCAAAACAGAAUGGGCUUAUUGGCCCUUUUAAACAUGUGGCUAAAGAUGCAUCACUAAUAUACUGGCUAAAUUUCAAGUAAGUUACUCGCAUGUACGUCCAGAGAAUGAUAGAAUUCUGGAGGCUUUUUGCUUGUUUCAGUGUCCCAAAAUGACUGACCUCCCACAAGAUUUUGUGACCUAUAAUGUUUUUGACCUCAUCACUAAGUUCCAACCAGAAACGGACUAUAUGAUGCAAACCAAUCUUUUUAAAAGUCAUCAGCAUCCCCAGGUGGAGUGACCAGGGUCACACAGGUUGUUCAGAGGGAAACUCGGGACAAAGGAAGAGCAAGCUCCCCACUCCCUAUGGAAUUUUUACAAACCGGUCACACAGGUGACCAGGUGGAUCCAGCAACCAAAGUUUGAAAACAGGGCUGGGCAGCCUCAGAGCAGAGGCAGACAAAAAUGGGGAUUUCUUCACAAACUUCACCCAUCAGUACAUGCAGACAGGCAUGUACAUAUAUGCAUCUGUGAAAAGUUAGGCUACAGGAGGUUUUCAAAGUAAAUUCUCUUCAGCUUUUGCACAUUUCCAUUUUUCUUUGUAAAUGUAUAUCCUACAGACCAUACACCCUAUAAAUGUUGUUGAAGGACCAGAGGAGAUUCCUGCACAAAGAUACUCAUCUUCUUAAAAACGAAACCCCAAAUUGGCUCUAUUUUAAUUGGUAUGAAAAUAAAAGUUCUAUAUAGUUGAAUGCAAAGCCGAAUAAAAGCCUAUAGCUGCUA